rnacentral:rRNA from 1 species
GAUGAACGCUGGCGGCGUGCCUAAUACAUGCAAGUCGAGCGAACGGACGAGAAGCUUGCUUCUCUGAUGUUAGCGGCGGACGGGUGAGUAACACGUGGAUAACCUGCCUAUAAGACUGGGAUAACUUCGGGAAACCGGAGCUAAUACCGGAUAAUAUUUUGAACCGCAUGGUUCAAAAGUAAAAGACGGUCUUGCUGUCACUUAUAGAUGGAUCCGCGCUGCAUUAGCUAGUUGGUAAGGUAACGGCUUACCAAGGCAACGAUGCAUAGCCGACCUGAGAGGGUGAUCGGCCACACUGGAACUGAGACACGGUCCAGACUCCUACGGGAGGCAGCAGUAGGGAAUCUUCCGCAAUGGGCGAAAGCCUGACGGAGCAACGCCGCGUGAGUGAUGAAGGUCUUCGGAUCGUAAAACUCUGUUAUUAGGGAAGAACAUAUGUGUAAGUAACUGUGCACAUCUUGACGGUACCUAAUCAGAAAGCCACGGCUAACUACGUG